rnacentral:tRNA from 1 species
CGGAUGUAGCCAAGUGGAG